UAAAAGUCGUAACAAGGUUUCCGUAGGUGAACCUGCGGAAGGAUCAUUACCGAGUUAGGGUUGCUCCGCAGCCCGACCUCCCAACCCUUUGUCUAAUUUACCUUGUCGUUGCUUCGGCGGACCGGUUGACCAACUGGUCUUGACCGCCGGGGGGUUCGUCCCCUGGAGAGCGUCCGCCGACGGCCCAACCACAAACUCUUGUACCAAACCAUGUCGUCUGAAUUACUUGAUUAAAAUCAAAAAACAAAACUUUCAACAACGGAUCUCUUGGUUCUGGCAUCGAUGAAGAACGCAGCGAAAUGCGACAAGUAAUGCGAAUUGCAGAAUUUCCGUGAGUCAUCGAAUCUUUGAACGCACAUUGCGCCCACUGGUAUUCCGGUGGGCAUGCCUGUUCGAGCGUCAUUAUCCUCCCUCAAACCCCGUGUUUGGUGUUGGGCCCGCGUUCCUGCGAAGGAACUGGCCUCAAAGACAAUGACGGCGUCCGCGGGACCCUCGGUGCAACGAGCUUUCAGGAGCACGCGCCGAGUUUCAAGGUCCCCCCGGGCCGGUCUAACCCUUUUUUUACUUAUAAGGUUGACCUCGGAUCAGGUAGGAAUACCCGCUGAACUUAAGCAUAUCAAUAAGCGGAGGAAAAGAAACCAACAGGGAUUGCCCCAGUAACG
rnacentral:rRNA from 1 species